GUGAAUCAUCAAAUCUUUGAACGCAAAUUGCGCUCCCUGGCACUCCGGGAAGUAUGCCUGUUUGAGGGUCAGUAUUAAUAAAAAUCGGUGUAGUUACUAAUUGUCACGUUUCCGGAGUUUGGGCUAUCUUACCAUUUUUGGUUUAGAGGCUUAAAAUUGUCCUAUUUUGCUCUUUUUUAAACUUACAUAAAUUUUUUUUAUUCGUCUAGUCUUAAUGCCAAAAUCUUAUCAGACGCGAUCACCGCGUCUGGCUUCGUGCC
rnacentral:misc_RNA from 1 species